AUGUUUUCUGUGGUACGAAUAUAAUCUGUAGCAGAGUUUGAGAGUAAAAAAAUACACCUAUAUUUUGUGAAUUUACAGAUAAUUCUAGAAGUUUUGUUACUUCUAUUUUGCAAAAAGCAAAAUAAUUUCCACGCUUGCGCUUUUCAUUCCUUAAAAUGUCGCACACAAUUCUUCUAGUCCAGCCUGGUUCCAGGCCAGAAACCAGAACGUACUCGGAUUAUGAGAGCGUCAAUGACUGUAUGGAAGGCGUAUGUAAAAUAUACGAGGAGCAUUUAAAGAGAAAAAACCCAAAUACUCCGACGAUAACUUACGAUAUUUCCCAGUUGUUUGAUUUCGUUGAUCAGCUAGCAGAUCUCAGUUGUUUAGUAUAUCAGAAAUCAACAAAUACUUAUGCUCCAUAUAAUAAAGAUUGGAUAAAAG